rnacentral:rRNA from 1 species
AUGACGACAACGGGGCACAAAGAUCCAGCAGCAGCUCCGCCGACGACCCCCAACCACAACCCCGCCGCUGCCCCAACCCCAAUCCCAUCACCGGCGGCCUCCUCUCCCUCUAGCGCCGCCGCCCCAGCCCCUCCUCACCUUCUCUGCGGCCCAUCAUUCGCCUCCUCUGCCUUCGCCGAUGGUGGUGGUCAGGAAGAGGAGUCCGUCGAGAAGGGGAACAGCAAAGCCACGGUGAUGGUCAGCAAGGAAAUUAAGUCGGAGAAGCCACAACUCCUAGAUUCACCAUUCACCUCUGCCUUAACCGAUCUUACUGCUCAGGAGGAGUCUGCCGACAAGGGGAACAACAAAGCCACGGCGGCGGUCAGGAAAGAAAUCAAGCCGGAGAAAUCAAGCAGGGGAACUGGAGGUAUCCUUGGGGAUGACAUUGGUCUCGGCAAGACCAUGCAGUUAGAACAAGGAUCAAAUAAAUAUCUAGUGCUGCCAUUGAUGGAUUUUAGGUGCUGUGAUGACCCUAGCUCUAUGCCACAAAGUUCAUCUGCGCUUGUUUCCUUCAGCCACAGGAUGAAGUGGUUCCAUGUUUCUGCCUUCCUGGCUGGAUUAUUCCAUUGCCGCUUAAUCAAGAGAGUGUUGGUGGUUGCGCCAAAGACACUUCUCACUCAUUGGACGAAGGAACUUUCAGUUGUCGGCCUCAAACAUAAGAUUAGGGAUUACUCUAGGCCCAGCAUAAAUGUUCGCAACUCUAAACUUCAAUAUGCAUUCAAGGAAUAUAUUAGUUCGGAGCUCAAGAAGUUCACAAAGUCGCUGUUGGUGCAAUGGCAUGUUCUUCUUGUUCGUCUUCAGCGUGAAAUGUGGGCUCUGUUCUAUUUCUGUUGCCCGGAGGUCUUGGGUGAUAAGGACGAGUUCAAAUCAAGAUAUGAGUCGGCUAUCAUUCGAGGAAAUGACAAGAAUGCCACCAAUCGAGAGAAGCACACAGGCUCAACUGUUGCAAAGAAGGAGGGGACCCGACCUCCUUCAUGUCUCGCGGCAGUAUCUUCCUUUGAUUCGUUCGUGCAACAAGGAGGGGACCCGGCCUUCUUCACGUCUCGUGCAACAAAGGUGGACUUCGCCGUGAAGCUCGGCGACCGCACCGCACGAAUGAUCAUCUAUGUGAUCCCGACACCGGAUGUCGCCUAG